AAUCAACGCUGGCGGCGUGCCUCAGACAUGCAAGUCGAACGCUGCUGUUCGCCUUCGGGUGGACGGCGGAGUGGCGCACGGGUGAGUAACACGUAGGUAAUCUACCUUUGGGUGGGGAAUAACAGCCGGAAACGGCUGCUAAUACCGCAUAAUGCAGCGGCAUCACAUGAUGACAGUUGUUAAAGCGGGGGAUCGUAAGACCUCGCGCCUGAAGAGGAGCCUGCGGCAGAUUAGGUAGUUGGUGAGGUAAUGGCUCACCAAGCCUGCGAUCUGUAACCGGCCUGAGAGGGCGGUCGGUCACACUGACACUGACAUACGGGUCAGACUCCUACGGGAGGCAGCAGUCGGGAAUUUUGGGCAAUGGGCGCAAGCCUGACCCAGCAACGCCGCGUGAA
rnacentral:rRNA from 1 species